CGGGGUACUCGAGUGGCGAACGGGUGAGUAACACGUGGGUGAUCUGCCCUGCACUUCGGGAUAAGCUUUGGAAACUGGGUCUAAUACCGGAUAGGACCGCACUUUAGUGUGUGUGGUGGAAAGUUUUUUCGGUGUAGGAUGAGCUCGCGGCCUAUCAGCUUGUUGGUGGGGUAAUGGCCUACCAAGGCGGCGACGGGUAGCCGGCCUGAGAGGGUGUACGGCCACAUUGGGACUGAGAUACGGCCCAG
rnacentral:rRNA from 1 species